UUCACUCUUCAUCUCCACAAACUAGUUGAACGUUGAGCCUUAUCGUUAUUUUCAAUGGCAUUGUCACAAUUUCAUUCUUCUCUCAAAUUCGGUAACCCAUUUCCAAUGGCAACACUCUCUUCCUUCACCAUCUCCUCCAAAACCCUAACCCCACCUAACCACCCCAAAACCUCAUCUCUCAAUUUCAACAACCUCUCCAUCCGUACCAAAAUCCGUACCCGGAAUCCUAUCCGCCGGCGGCCAAGGAAGAUUCCUCUUCCAACAAAAGCGGAAGCAAUGAGCAGAAGGAAACGAUUAUGCUUCCCGGUUGUGACUACAACCAUUGGCACUUACCUUCAAACUCUUGCUACUGUCUUGGGAAGUUUAGCUUUUGGAAGAAAAAUGCCGAAUUUGUCCUCGCUCGCAAGAUGUUCGAUGAAAUGUCCCAACCGAAUUCGCCAGUCUUCUUCUUCCGCUCUCAACAUUUUCAUUUCUUGGAUUUUUUUUAUUUGUUGAAAAUUGAAAUAUUGUUUCUCUUGUUUCAGCUUUUGUGGCGAAGUUAGCGGUGAGAGAGGAAUUUGAUUUAGUUGAUAUUAACGGCUCAAUAUACUUAAUCCUGACACUAGGAAUUUGAUUCAUUGGCCAAACGGCCAGGUUUUGAGUGGAGAACUAGACUCACAUUGCUGCAGCUAUCCUAUUCUUUACAAUGUAAUAUACAUGGAGGUAAUCCUUAAGCAUAGAGAUCUUAUGGAGGAGUGGGUGUGGUUGCUAGAAAGGCUAGAUUAUUUUCCCAACCUUCAAAAUCUUACCAUUAUCGAGGACAAUGGGAAUGGAGACGAAAUUGUGUAUAAUUGGAGGGAACAAACAUCUACUCCGGAAUGUCUUUCAACACAGCAUAGAACAUGUUUGAUUAAACAAUUUACAUACACAGAAUAUAGUCUUCAAUUUGCUGAAUAUAUUUUGAGGAAUUCAAAGGUACUGGACACAAUGUCAAUCAAGAGUGCUUCAUUCAUAAAUGAAAAUGUCAAGCACCAAAUGUUAAUGAUAUUAGCUUCGGAGGAAUUCAAAGCUGCAAUGAGCCUAUUGAGCCAUUGACAAUUGAAGAAGUAGUUGAAUGUUGCCAUGCUCCCGAAGAUAUUGAAGUAAUUUACAAGAUCAUCGCGCAUAUGGCUGCCAACGAAAGAGCACUAAUUGCUGAAGAUCUUGCGGUAAAGAAGAAGAUUGAAAAGCACAGGGAAAAAGUGCUUAGGGUUGACAAUGUGCUACAGAAAAACCAGUUUAUUGAAGCAGUUCCAUCUUCUACUAUGAAGAAGAGCUCGAAAAACCAAAAAGUUGUUCCGAAAAGAAUAGGCACCAAUCAAGAUAGUCAUAAGGAUGAUUCCAUGGUAGAUUUGUCUUUUGGAGAAAACCACUGUUGCAUAACUUUGGUGAUUGUAUAUAUUGUUUAGUAUUUAGUAGAAGCAAUACAUAUCUAGAGACGA